GCGCGUAGUCAAUCUACCCUGUGGACGGGAAUAACCUCGGGAAACUGAGAAUAAUGCCCGAUAGAACAUUAUGCCUGGAAUGGUUUAUGUUUCAAAUGAUUUAUCGCCAUAGGAUGGGACUGCGGCCUAUCAGUUUGUUGGUGAGGUAAUGGCCCACCAAGACUAUUACAGGUACGGGCUCUGAGAGGAGUGGCCCGGAGAUGGGUACUGAGACACGGACCCAGGCCCUAUGGGGCGCAGCAGGCGAGAAAACUUUGCAAUGUGCGAAAGCACGACAAGGUUAAUCCGAGUGGUUUCUGCUAAAGAAACCUUUUGUCAGUCCUAGAAACACUAACGAAUAAGGGGUGGGCAAGUUCUGGUGUCAGCCGCCGCGGUAAAACCAGCACCUCAAGUGGUCAGGAUGAUUAUUGGGCCUAAAGCAUCCGUAGCUCGUUUUGUAAGUUUUCGGUUAAAUCCAUGCGCUUAACGUAUGGGCUGCCGGGAAUACUGCAUAACUAGGAAGUGGGAGAGGUAGACGGUACUCGGUAGGAAGGGGUAAAAUCCUUUGAUCUAUUGAUGACCACCUGUGGCGAAGGCGGUCUACCAGAACACGUUCGACGGUGAGGGAUGAAAGCUGGGGGAGCAAACCGGAUUAGAUA
rnacentral:rRNA from 1 species